GUGAAUCAUCGAAUCUUUGAACGCAUAUUGCGCCCCGUGGUAUUCCACAGGGCAUACCUGUUCGAGCGUCAUUCUCACCAGUCAAGCCUAGCUUGGUGUUGGAGCAUGGACUUGCAGCUCUCAAAGAUAGUAGCGGUCUGUAGGGACUCUUAGCGUAGUAGUACCUCUCGCUUCUGGGUCCUAUACUGGCUUGUUAAGCCUACCUACUUCUUUAGUUGACCUCGGAUCAGGUACGGAUACCCGCUGAACUUAAGCAUAUCAAUAAGCGGAGGA
rnacentral:misc_RNA from 1 species